rnacentral:rRNA from 1 species
GCAGUCNANCGGAAGGCCUCUUCGGAGGUACUCGAGUGGCGAACGGGUGAGUAACACGUGGGCAAUCUGCCCUGCACUUCGGGAUAAGCCUGGGAAACUGGGUCUAAUACCGGAUAGGACCUCAAGACGCAUGUCUUGUGGUGGAAAGCUUUUGCGGUGUGGGAUGGGCCCGCGGCCUAUCAGCUUGUUGGUGGGGUGACGGCCUACCAAGGCGACGACGGGUAGCCGGCCUGAGAGGGUGUCCGGCCACACUGGGACUGAGAUACGGCCCAGACUCCUACGGGAGGCAGCAGUGGGGAAUAUUGCACAAUGGGCGCAAGCCUGAUGCAGCGACGCCGCGUGGGGGAUGACGGCCUUCGGGUUGUAAACCUCUUUCACCAUCGACGAAGGUCCGGGUUUUCUCGGAUUGACGGUAGGUGGAGAAGAAGCACCGGCCCAACUACGUGCCAGCAGCCGCGGUAAUACGUAGGGUGCGAGCGUUGUCCGGAAUUACUGGGCGUAAAGAGCUCGUAGGUGGUUUGUCGCGUUGUUCGUGAAAUCUCACGGCUUAACUGUGAGCGUGCGGGCGAUACGGGCAGACUAGAGUACUGCAGGGGAGACUGGAAUUCCUGGUGUAGCGGUGGAAUGCGCAGAUAUCAGGAGGAACACCGGUGGCGAAGGCGGGUCUCUGGGCAGUAACUGACGCUGAGGAGCGAAAGCGUGGGGAGCGAACAGGAUUAGAUACCCUGGUAGUCCACGCCGUAAACGGUGGGUACUAGGUGUGGGUUUCCUUCCUUGGGAUCCGUGCCGUAGCUAACGCAUUAAGUACCCCGCCUGGGGAGUACGGCCGCAAGGCUAAAACUCAAAGGAAUUGACGGGGGCCCGCACAAGCGGCGGAGCAUGUGGAUUAAUUCGAUGCAACGCGAAGAACCUUUACCUGGGUUUGACAUGCACAGGACGCGUCUAGAGAUAGGCGUUCCCUUUGUGGCCUGUGUGCAGGUGGUGCAUGGCUGUCGUCAGCUCGUGUCGUGAGAUGUUGGGUUAAGUCCCGCAACGAGCGCAACCCUUGUCUCAUGUUGCCAGCGGGUAAUGCCGGGGACUCGUGAGAGACUGCCGGGGUCAACUCGGAGGAAGGUGGGGAAUGACGUCAAGUCAUCAUGCCCCUUAUGUCCAGGGCUUCACACAUGCUACAAUGGCCCGGGUACAAAGGGCUGCGAUGCCGUAAGGUUAAGCGAAUCCUUUUAAAGCCGGUCUCAGUUCGGAUUGGGGUCUGCAACCCCNUCGACCCCAUGAAGUCGGAGUCGCUAGUAAUCGCUAGAUCAGCAACGCUGCGGUGAAUACGUUCCCGGGCCUUGUACACACCGCCCGUCACGUCAUGAAAGUCGGUAACACCCGAAGCCAGUGGCCUAACC